GGUCAAGCUAAUAAGGGCUUUCGGUGGAUGCCUUGGUACCGGGAGGCGAUGAAGGACGUGGUAUAGCUGCGAUAAGCUUCGGAGAGCCGCUGAACAGGCAUUGAUCCGGAGAUUUCCGAAUGGGGCAACCCGGCGGGCUUAAUCGCCCGUCACCUCGAAAGAGGGGCAAACGUGGGGAACUGAAACAUCUCAGUACCUGCAGGAAAGGAAAGCAACAUGCGACUCCCCUAGUAGCGGCGAGCGAACGGGGACCAGCCCAAACCGUAGGACCACGGUCCUGCGGGGUGCGGGCGUGCGACAAAGGUAGCUUCAGAACUAGCGGAACCGUCUGGAAAGUCGGGCCAGAGAGGGUGAAAGCCCCGUAUGCGAAAGUUCGAGAGCGCCGAGCACGACCCCGAGUAGGACGGGACACGUGAAACCCCGUCUGAAUAAGGGAGGACCACCUUCCAAGGCUAAGUACUACCCGGUGACCGAUAGCGAACCAGUACCGUGAGGGAAAGGUGAAAAGCACCCCAGCGAGGGGAGUGAAAUAGUACCUGAAACCGAAAGUCUACAAGCAGUGGAAGUACUAUGGUUUCGACCAGUACGACCGCGUGCCUUUUGCAUAAUGAGUCGGCGAGUUACUUUACGUGGCAAGCUUAAGUCGUGAGACGUAGGCGAAGCGAAAGCGAGUCUUAACCGGCGAAAGUCGCGUGGAGUAGACCCGAAACGGGGUGAUCUACCCAUGGCCAGGUUGAAGCGCGAGUAAAAUCGCGUGGAGGACCGAACCCACCAAGGUUGAAAACUUGGGGGAUGAGCUGUGGGUAGGGGUGAAAGGCCAAUCAAGCUCGGAAAUAGCUGGUUCUCCUCGAAAUAUAUUUAGGUAUAGCCUCGCGUGUUCUCUGACGGAGGUAGAGCACUGGAUGGGUUAGGGGCCUCACCAGGUUACCGACCCCAACCAAACUCCGAAUGCCGGUAAGAGCGAGCGCGGGAGUCAGUCUACGGGAGAUAACUUUCGUGGACGAGAGGGAAACAACCCAGACCGCCAGCUAAGGCCCCUAAUUCCGUGCUAAGUGGAAAAGGAUGUGGGAGCGCUCAGACAACCAGGAGGUUGGCUUAGAAGCAGCCACCCUUUAAAGAAAGCGUAAUAGCUCACUGGUCUAGUGAACCCGCGCCGAAAAUGUACCGGGGCUCAAGCACGGAGCCGAAGCUGCGGAUUCAGCGCAAGCUGAGUGGUAGGAGAGUAUUCCAACGGCGUCGAAGGUCGACCGAAAGGACGGCUGGAGCUUUUGGAAGAGCUUAUGCAGGCAUGAGUAGCGAUAAAACAGGUGAGAAACCUGUUCGCCGUAAACCCAAGGUUUCCUGGGCCAGGUUAAUCCUCCCAGGGUUAGUCGGAUCCUAAGCCGAGGCCGAAAGGCGUAGGCGAUGGGAAUCAGGUUAAUAUUCCUGAACCGGCGAGUCGUCGUUGAAGCUAGAGGGGACGGAGAAGGGUAGAUCAGCCACCCGUUGGUCGUGGUGGUUCAAGCCCGUAGGCGGUUGUUCUAGGACGCGUAGGCGACAAACGGAACAACGUAACGCCAAGAGGUGAUGAGGCGGCGGUUUCUUCGAAAACUGCCGAAACUGAUUGAGCCCAUGCUUCCAAGAAAAGCCUCGAGUGGAGACGGUUCGCCGACCGUACCGCAAACCGACACAGGUGGGUGGGGAGAGUAUCCCAAGGCGCUUGAGAGAACUCUGGUUAAGGAACUCGGCAAAUUAGCACCGUAACUUAGGGAGAAGGUGUGCCCUCGGUACGUGAAGCGCCUCGCGCGUGGAGCGGAAGGGGGUUGCAGAGAAAUGGCGGUAGCGACUGUUUACUAAAAACACAGGACUCUGCAAAGUCGCAAGACGAAGUAUAGGGUCUGACGCCUGCCCGGUGCCGGAAGGUUAAGAGGAGUAGUUAGGGGUAACCCGAAGCUGCGAAUCGAAGCCCCGGUAAACGGCGGCCGUAACUAUAACGGUCCUAAGGUAGCGAAAUUCCUUGUCGGGUAAGUUCCGACCUGCACGAAUGGCGUAACG
rnacentral:rRNA from 1 species